UACCGCUAUUGUUCUAUUUGGUAGUAAUGUGGAUGAUAUGUCUACAGUUGUAUUUGCCAACCAUCAGGAGUUGGCCUGGAGCCUUAGAGUUUGCUCCCUUUCAAAGUCUCACGUUCCAAAUCCACUAGGUGCAAACAAUUUCUGAGGGCCAUCGAUCCGAGUAAAACCUGAAUUAACCAUGGUGCACUUGCGAGAAACUCUUUGCCGAGGGCCUGUGCACCCCCAUGAUUAGUCGGGGUUCGAAGAAACUCGGACACCCGGUGCAAUAAAAAAAAAAAAAUUUAUGUUCUGAUUGCCUGG
rnacentral:lncRNA from 1 species